rnacentral:rRNA from 1 species
UGCGCCUUGCCAGCCCGCUCAGAAACUCAAAGAAUUGACGGGGCCGCACAGCGGAGGAGCAUGUGGUUUAAUUCGAUGAUACGCGAGGAACCUUACCUGGGCUUAAAUGCUUAAUGACGUACUGGGAAACUGGUAUUUCUUCGGACAUUUUGCAAGGUGCUGCAUGGUUGUCGUCAGCUCGUGCCGUGAGGUGUCGGGUUAAGUCCCAUAACGAGCGCAACCCCUAUUGUUAGUUGCCAUCAGGUCAUGCUGGGGACUCUAACAAAACUGCCCGCGUAAGCGUGGAGGAAGGUGGGGAUGACGUCAAAUCAGCACGGCCCUUACGUCCAGGGCUACACACGUGCUACAAUGGCCGGUACAGAGGGCAGCCACUUGGUGACAAGGAGCAAAUCUCAAAAGCCGGUCUCAGUUCGGAUCGGAGUCUGCAACUCGACUCCGUGAAGUUGGAUUCGCUAGUAAUCGUAGAUCAGCAAUGCUACGGUGAAUACGUUCCCGGGCCUU